CCGUCGUGGCGCAGUGGUUAAUGAAUCCGACUAGGAACCAUGAGGUUGCGGGUUCGGUCCCUGCCCUUGCUCAGUGGGUUAAUGAUCCGGCGUUGCCGAGAGCUGUGGUGUAGGUUGCAGACGCGGCUCGGAUCCCGCGUUGCUGUGGCUCUGGCGUAGGCCGGUGGCUACGGCUCUGAUUCAACCCCUAGCCUGGGAACCUCCAUAUGCCGCAGGAGCGGCCCAAGAAAUAGCAAAAACAAACAAACAAACAAACAAAAAAACCCAAAAAAACAGGGGAUGUCGGGUCCAGACUGGUUGCUUCUGAGUUCAGACACUCCAUUGCCGUGAGGUGUGGGGCAGACAGUCAAGCGGAGCUGAACAUAGUAAAAGAUGAUGUUCAGUGUCUUACAAGCUGCUUUUCCCCUGAGGUUAAACUUGUGGUUUAGGGCUAAAGGGGGCUGAGGGAAGCUAGGACCCAGGGAAUUUUGCCUGGUUCCACAUUUACUGCUAGUUUAACUGUGGAGUUACCUUUCCACACCUCAGUCCCCUACGUGGGAAGAUGAUAAUGGUUCCUACGUCGUAGGAUUGUUGGGGGCAGCAAAUGAAAUAAUACACUUGCAUCACACUGGAAACACAAGUUAGUGAUUCAUAAUUCUUAGGUGCCAUUACAGGGGUGCUGUCUAGCAGUUAAGGCUGCAGGCUUAGAGUUCCCAUUGUGGCCCAGUGUUAACGAGCCAAAAUAGUAUCCAUGAGGACGCAGGUUCAAUCCCUGGUCUCACUCAGUGGGUUAAGGAUCUGGUAUUGCCAUGAGCUGUGGUGUACGUCACAGACGCGGCUUAGAUCCUGUGUUGCCGUGGCUGUGCUCUAAUUAGAGCCCUAGCCUGGGAACUUCCAUAUGCCUUAGGUGUGGCCCUAAAGGAUUAAAAAAAAAAAAAAAAAAAAAAAGAUGCAGUCUCGGAAGCUGACAACAUGAGGACAUGAGCCCAGAGAGGUCAAAUGACUUUCCAGGUCACACAGCUGGUGAAGACAAUACUGGUGGAUUCCCCAGGGAAAAGAAACCCUUCAGACGAGCAAACAGGAUUUAUGGAGGGGAUGGAACAGCGCAUCUCACAGAGACCUAAGAAGAGACGGGCCGUCUGGAAAAUGAGGUGGGCAGCAGAUGGAAAUGGUUUCCAUUGUCUUUCCAAGGAGCCAGGGGAUCUCUGAUCCGCCACUGUUUCUGCUACUUCCCCUCUUAGGGGGGAUAGUCCUUAUUUUGAAUUCUUCAUGGCUUUGGCUUGUAUCGGCUGUGCCCUGAUGUUUUAGAACCGAAUAUUCUUUCAAGUAGCAUCUUCUUUCUCCACUGAACCUCUUGUCUCAAUCCCAGAUUCCUGAGGUUGGCACAGCCUCAGUCCCACGUGUAUCUCUGGCCCAGUUGGCAGCAGCUUGGAG
rnacentral:lncRNA from 1 species